rnacentral:rRNA from 1 species
GACGAACGCUGGCGGCGUGCCUAAUACAUGCAAGUUGAGCGCUGAAGGUUGGUACUUGUACCAACUGGAUGAGCAGCGAACGGGUGAGUAACGCGUGGGGAAUCUGCCUUUGAGCGGGGGACAACAUUUGGAAGCGAAUGCUAAUACCGCAUAAAAACUUUAAACACAAGUUUUAAGUUUGAAAGAUGCAAUUGCAUCACUCAAAGAUGAUCCCGCGUUGUAUUAGCUAGUUGGUGAGGUAAAGGCUCACCAAGGCGAUGAUACAUAGCCGACCUGAGAGGGUGGUCUGCCACAUUGGGAAUGAGACACGGCCCAAACUCCUACGGGAGGCAGCAGUAGGGAAUCUUCGGCAAUGGACGAAAGUCUGACCGAGCAACGCCGCGUGAGUGAAGAAGGUUUUCGGAUCGUAAAACUCUGUUGGUAGAGAAGAACGUUGGUGAGAGUGGAAAGCUCAUCAAGUGACGGUAACUACCCAGAAAGGGACGGCUAACUACGUG